rnacentral:lncRNA from 1 species
GUUGUAGAUAGAGGAGAGGUUGUAAAAAGGCCAUGGUUUUUAAUGUUGUUUGUGGAUUUAGAGUUCAGCGUCAAUUUUUUUCUGAUGGUCUGAUAUAAAAUCAAUGAAACAUAUUCCCUUUAUAACGGGCUUCCACGAUCUGUAAAUGUAAUUAUUUAAGAGAGGAAGAAGUUGAAUGACCAAUUAUCCAAUGAUGCAGAAAUGUACAUUCUGAUUUUUUCUCCUGUCAAGAUCUCUUAAUAGAGGCCAGGUUAUUUGAAAUUGAUCAUGAAUACAAAAAUAUUGUGAGGAAAAAGAACCAUUAAGCU